UACAAUGACAGGACUGAGACAGAUUCCCUGCUGGGGUCCACCAGAGAAUAAACCCGGCUCAAAUUUGAGCACAUCUCAAGAGCUGGAUGCACACCAUAAGUGACUCAUCUAUAAAACAGAAUUAAAAAGAGAAAAAAAAACAGUCAAGACUGUGCCUUCCAGGGAUAUAAGCUGACCUUUCCAGCUUCCCAGAAGCACCCAAGGCCCCUCCCCAAGACCGCAGUCUACCCAACUCAGACUGAAA